rnacentral:misc_RNA from 1 species
UCACGCCUUACGGCGGCAGUCUCCCUAGAGUGCCCUUGCGUAGCAACUAGGGACAAGGGUUGCGCUCGUUGCGGGACUUAACCCAACAUCUCACGACACGAGCUGACGACAGCCAUGCAGCACCUGUGUUCCGAUUCCCUUUCGGGCACCCCCACCUCUCAGCAGGGUUCCGGACAUGUCAAGGGUAGGUAAGGUUGUUCGCGUUGCAUCGAAUUAAUCCACAUCAUCCACCGCUUGUGCGGGUCCCCGUCAAUUCCUUUGAGUUUUAACCUUGCGGCCGUACUCCCCAGGCGGAUCACUUCACGCGUUAGCUACGGUACCCAGGAAUCGCUUCCCGAACACCCAGUGAUCAUCGUUUAGGGCGUGGACUAC